rnacentral:rRNA from 1 species
CCUACGGGCGACAGCAGUAGGGAAUAUUGCUCAAUGGGGGAAACCCUGAAGCAGCAACGCCGCGUGGAGGAUGAAGGUUUUCGGAUUGUAAACUCUUUUUGUUAGAGAAGAUAAUGACGGUAUCUAACGAAUAAGCACCGGCUAACUCCGUGCCAGCAGCCGCGGUAAUACGGAGGGUGCAAGCGUUACUCGGAAUCACUGGGCGGAAAGAGCGCGUAGGCGGGAUAGCAAGUCAGAUGUGAAAUCCUAUGGCUUAACCAUAGAACUGCAUUUGAAACUGUUAUUCUAGAGUAUGGGAGAGGUAGGUGGAAUUCUUGGUGUAGGGGUAAAAUCCGUAGAGAUCAAGAGGAAUACUCAUUGCGAAGGCGACCUGCUAGAACAUAACUGACGCUGAUGCGCGAAAGCGUGGGGAGCAAACAGGAUUAGAUACCCUAGUAGUC